CCUCUCUCUGGCCUCCGCAGGAAAGUAAAGGAGGUCACUCGGGCGCCCUCUCCCCAUCGAAGUUCAGGCCGAGCCCGAAACCCAGGCACUGCUCCCCUCCCGGGGCCGCCCCGCCUCGAGGAUCCUGUUUUGAGGACACCGGGAACUGGAUCCGAAUGUCUCAGAGCCAUAAAUCACCGAGUUUCCUACACUGGAACUUUUUAUCCCACUAGCGACGAGCACCCACCAUUCCUUCGUUAUUACUCCUACCUUCCCAGCUACUAAGGAAGGGUGAGGGCCGGAAAAGCUAAAGCGCCUAGCAGGCUUUCUCAUCUCCCGACCUUACCGAGUUUUAGCAAAACAAAACAUCAGAAGUACAGAGUCAUCAGCUCUGGCAGUGCCAAUUGGUGCGUGGGAGACAAAAGGGGCUGGGAGGUUGUCUAUGACUGUGCAAGAGACAAAAUAAGCAAAUAAAAUUCCUCCACUGUGCAAUCCUUUACGAGAAGAGGAUAGAACCAUCUUAUGCUAAAAAGAAAGAGGAAAGUCUAGCACUAAGAGAGGAAGCCCGCAGGAGGCC
ensembl:lncRNA